UAUAGGGUAGUAUAUUGAGUACGAAGGAUUUUGAAUCCUUUAGUGGUGGUUCGUCUUACCUCUUGUAA
rnacentral:tRNA from 1 species